rnacentral:ncRNA from 1 species
CUAUGACUUGAAUAGGAGUCAUGGCAAAGGAG